UGCGUACUACUCCGCCCGAAAAUACUUGUCAUUAAAAUGGAUGUAUCUAGAUAUAUUUUAGUUCUAGAUACAUCCAUUUUCAUUAAUUUUAAUGACAAGUAAUUUCGAAUGGAGGGAGUACGUA
rfam:Triticum aestivum genome assembly, contig: Triticum_aestivum_CS42_TGACv1_scaffold_177427_2DS